UCUUCUUUCAUUCUCAGCCGACAGUAGUCUUCUUCCUUCUCUUCUGUUUCUGAAAUUGAAUAAAAACGCUGAUGAUAUUGAAAUCAACAGCUUUUGUUGGAGGUCUGAGUUGGAUGAGAAGCAAAAAUUAUAGGUUUAACAGUUUAGAGAUCAGUGGGUAUUUAUCAGUCGAAGUUUGAGAGCAAAGAAGAAAAAGGGUUUUUGGGUUCCUGAAUUCUCAAAGUUUGACAGAGAAGAGAGUGCUGCUAAUCGAAUUACAGAAGAAGAAUAAGUGGAUUUGAAUGAAAGUUUCAGAGAAAGGGAUAAAUUGAGGUUUUGUGGUCAAGUAAUAGAUGGGUUCGAUGAUUCGAGAGGCUUGGGGGGAAGAGAAGAACAUGGAGAAAUAAUACAAGGUUAGGGUUUAAUUUGAGCAGAGAUUCAUGGGGUUGUGAUGAUGAUUGUGUUGAUGGUGAAUGAAAUUGGAGAAAUUGAUGAUGAUUUAGGGUUCUUAAAAGAAGAAUCUAGGUCGAUUUCAGAUUCCAGUGUUGAAUUGAUGAUGUUUGCGAUUUUGUUCGAGGUAUUUUGUGCUACAUGAUCGAUAUUCAAGUACUGGGUUGUCUUGAACGCAUACUAUUGCAUAUCUUGGGAAUAUGAAGUUUUUUCGUCAGAUAUUAUGUUAGAGAUACAAAGAAGAUGUUGAGAGAAGGGGCUCGAACCAUGGAGUUGAUGCGACUGUUGUUCUGGUGAGUGCAGGUGGACCGAGAUGAUAUUGCAGGUGGCUGCUUAGAUGUAUGCUUAGGUCACAUGAGGUGGAUAUGCUGGUGGCAGUUGGUAUGAGUUGAAUUGAUUGUUGCAGUUGGAUGUUGAAAUUGUUCGAGUCACUGGUGAAUUUUAGAGAUGGAGAAGAAGAUGUUCUCUGCUGGUGGUUGUAUAAUGGAAUGGGUUGCAAUUGAAGUCCAUGUCAAUGAAGGAGCUGAACCGUAGAUGUAUGCUUAGGAAUGAAUUGGUACAGUGUGAAUACAAGACUGAGAAAGAGGGUUUGAUGCUCAAUAGAUGUAUGUUAGGAAUUUACAGGGAGGUGUUGCUUGAAUUGUAAGGAUUGGGGUUGGAUUGCUUAGCUCAAACUGGUGACGUUACAAAGUUGAGUCAAAGAUGAAAGCAGAGAGGGGAGUAAGGGAAGACAAUGGAUGAGCAAGUCUGAAUUGCAGGUGAUGGUGAGCAGUUGUGGGAUUGAAGCUACAAAAGACUGAAGAGAUGGAGGUAAUUAUGGAGUUGGUAUGGUGAGGCUGAAAGAGCUGUAUUUGUCGCAGUUCAUGGAAGUAAUGUAUUGCAGGUGGUUUUGAGGUUGUGCAGUUGAUAUUUAAAUCAAGGAUAAAGCAGCUGAGAGUACAUGAAUUGCAGGAGCUAGAGAAAUUGAAUGAUCUGCCGAAUGUAUAUGAACUGAGCAUGAGAAUGGUUGAAUGCAUGUUGGUGGACUGGUUUGUAUUGUAGAGCAUGGUGUUGGUGUUGCAUGCAAUAAUAAGAAGUGGAGUUGAUUUGGACCAGUAGGCUGGGAAUGGGCUGGACUCGGCUUUCAAAUCAGUGAUUCAAGAAAAUCCAACUCUACUCAGAAGGAAGGGCUUUUUGGACAGUUUUCCUCUGCCACCUAAGCGUUAACAGCUGCUAACUGACAUUUACCGUUUUUUUGAAUAAAACGGUCAAGGCAAGGGUACUUUAACAAAUUUUAAAAAAACGGGGGACAUUUUUUUAGUGUAAUGUUAAAAGUAGGGGUACUUUAUCAAGAAGCCCUUACUUUUUCUAUAUUUUCACUAAAAUCCAAGAAUAGUUUUUUAAUUUGUAGAUCAAAACUAAAAUUUGAAUCCAUUAUUGUUUGUUACUCAAUUAGUAUUUGAAUCA